rnacentral:rRNA from 1 species
AUGAACGCUGGCGGCGUGCCUCAUACAUGCAAGUCGAGCGAACGGACGAGAAGCUUGCUUCUCUGAUGUUAGCGGCGGACGGGUGAGUAACACGUGGAUAACCUACCUAUAAGACUGGGAUAACUUCGGGAAACCGGAGCUAAUACCGGAUAAUAUUUUGAACCGCAUGGUUCAAAAGUGAAAGACGGUCUUGCUGUCACUUAUAGAUGGAUCCGCGCUGCAUUAGCUAGUUGGUAAGGUAACGGCUUACCAAGGCAACGAUGCAUAGCCGACCUGAGAGGGUGAUCGGCCACACUGGAACUGGGACACGGUCCAGACUCCUACGGGAGGCAGCAGUAGGGAAUCUUCCGCAAUGGGCGAAAGCCUGACGGAGCAACGCCGCGUGAGUGAUGAAGGUCUUCGGAUCGUAAAACUCUGUUAUUAGGGAAGAACAUAUGUGUAAGUAACUGUGCACAUCUUGACGGUACCUAAUCAGAAAGCCACGGCUAACUACGUG